AAACUGUAAUAACUCCCUUGUGAGUGAUGUCAUGUCCAGACUCCUGUUUCCCAAGACAGGGGGUUACUGGGAUGGAUUUUCCACGCUGGUUGUGAGGUAAUCAGGGGUGCCCUGAGGUCAGCUCUAAGCACCACGUCCUCCUAAAAGCCACAUUAAUCAGUUGGAGCCUUUGGAAUUCUGUCAAGCACAGAGAUCAUGUUGAGCAGCUGCAAAACCCAGUGUGGCAGCACUGACUGCAAAGCUCUCCAUGGCUGGUUUUG
rnacentral:lncRNA from 12 species